AUAGUACUCCAUCCGCCUUGAUUAACUUGUCACAGGAAUGGAUAAAAAUGGAUGUAUCUAUAACUAAAAUACAUCUAGAUACAUCCAUUUCCGUGACAAGUAAUUCCAGACGGAGGGAGUAUGUA
rfam:Triticum aestivum genome assembly, contig: Triticum_aestivum_CS42_TGACv1_scaffold_557364_7AL